UGAGAGAAACCUGAAACACAUAACACAAAACACUGUAAGCACGAAGCUUAGUGAGUUCCCCAAAAUACCACACAUAACACAUAUUAGCCACUCGAGGCUAUAACUCUGUGGGUCCGUGGACCCUACUCUGUGAACCUUCCGAUUCUAACUCUGGGAACCUUCCGGUUCUAACUCUGUAAACAUGCACAUCAUAAAUCACAUAGAAAUAAUGCAGUACAACACAUAACAUACACAACAUACAAAUACUCUGUCACAUAACUCUGGUUACCUACUCAAGGUAAAGUAUAGUGAGAAGACUCACCUGGCAAUCAGAAAGCAAUUAUCUGCACAUGCGAACCUCGGACUCGCCACCGCCUAACACAUAAGGCAAAUAUCUCUAAUUAAUACUCGAAGUCCCAACUCUAAUUAACCGGCGAUUACUCUUUCACUCUCUAGUAAGGUAAUGGGUAAAAGACCAUUUUACCCCUCCCUCACCUCUAUUACCUCUGUUAACCAAAACUCCCAAAGUCAACAUAAGACAACUCAAGUCACUGGUCAACACUGACUAGACUCGGCGAGUACACAAGAGUGACUCGGCGAGUCCAUGCGGGUUCUCUAAAUCCUUUUUAAACCUCUUAGACACGACGAGUUCCCUCUCCACUCGUCGAGUUACUCGGCAACGAAACGCGGGGCAACCCCGACUCGACUCGUCGAGUUUGCCUAUGGACUCGGCGAGUUGCUCCCAUGACAACCCUCAUCUGACCUUCUGAGGUCAGAUCUGCUUCACCAAACCAUAGAUCUAACUCCCUCAAAGCCAAUAACCACGAAAAGGUCGAACCUUGGGCACUCAUGCAAGGUUCUACAAGCUCAUUUGGGUGAAACCCUCCAUUACAUAACAACCCUAGCUCAAAACUCCAAAUAGAAUGCAUAAAGCAGGAUGGAAGGGACUCUCUGGACCUCUUUGGGUCCAGAUCUAUGGCUUCACACUCAAUGGGACACUAUACUCCACAAAUCAUGCCAUAAAAGAAGCUAGAAAACCCUAAAAUCACCAAUCUUACCCAAAACAGAAAAGGGAGAACGAUUUGAUACCUCUAUGGUGAAGAUGCAAGCUCAGAAGCUCUGAAUCGACACCCCCUUGACCUCCCUUUGCUGGAAAUGACUACUCCAUUGCACAACCACCUCAAGAAUGCUCCAAAAUGGCUCUUCUUCACUCUCUCAGCUCUCUGGUUCGAUAGGAGUCUCUCAAAGGUGUAGGUGGCCACCACUGAAGGCCAUAAGGGCCUUUAAAUAGGUCCCAAACCCGGACAAUUAGGGUUUUCCUUGACAGCGCCGACUCGGCGAGUCCAAAUACCCGACUCGUCGAGUCCCUUCAUUAAACUGGUCCCCAAAACGCGAUCCUACUCGACGAGUUGAGGCGUCAACUCGCCGAGUCUCCUCAUUCCCCAAUAUAAAAUACUCAAAUUCCCAUACCUGGAUAUCCGGAUGUUACAAUUCUCCCCCACUAGAAUCAGACUUCGCCCUCGAAGUCUCACUCUGGAAACAACUCCGGAUGCUGCUCACGCAUCUCGCGCUCCGGCUCCCAAGUAAGCUCUGACCCCUUCCGGUGUUGCCACUGGACCUGCACCAGAGGCACCUCUUUGUUCCUCAGAACCUUGAUCUUUCGAUCCCGAAUAGCCACCGGUCUCUCAACGUAGUUCAGGCCCACAUCCACCUGAAUAUCCUCUAAUGGCACUACUGCCGACUCCUCGGCUAUACACUUUCGCAGCUGCGACACAUGGAAAGUGUCAUGGAUCUGACCUAGCUCUGCAGGUAGCUCCAACCGGUAGGCUACCCUGCCUACCCUCGCGAUCACCCGAAAAGGACCGAUAUAUCGGGGCCCCAACUUGCCCCUCUUCCUGAAUCGGAUCAAUCCUUUCCAAGGAGAGACAUUCAGGAGUACAAAAUCACCGACAAAAAAUUCAAGCUCGGACCGGCGACUGUCCGCAUAACUCUUCUGGCGACUUUGAGCGGUCAACAACUUCUGCAUGACCUGCUGUAUCUGCUCUGACGUCUGAAGCACGAUCUCUGUACUUCCCAUCACACGUUGCUCUACCUCUCCCUAGCAAAUGGGGUCCGAUACCCCCUUCCCUACAACAACUCAAAGGGUGGCAUACUGAUGCACUAAUGAUGGUUGUUGUUGUAGGAAAACUCUGCCAAGGGCAAAUACAGGCCACAAUUUCCCCUCGAAAUCUAAUACACAUGCCCGAAACAUAUCCUCGAGCGUCUGAAUCGUUCGCUCGCUCUGAAGUGUCAACAGACAUCACCAUGGUAAACUCUAGCUCAUUUCUCAUAUUCGUCUUCGACACCGAACACCAGGUCAGCUUUUGGCCCCACAGCUGAACCCCCAAAGGUCACACAUAACAUGAUCCAAAAUAUCUCACUAACUUCCUCCCCGUGACCACUAUCACGGCCCAGUGACACGCAAGUCACGAAAUUCCCUUUUCUUCAAAAAAAAAACAAUCCAAUCGAAGAUCGACUCAGCUCUAACCUCUGGCGUCUGCUGCGCAUAUUCUCCCGCGCGCCUCGCUGACCCCCCUGAUAGAGACGGAGUCCCCAGUCUCGCCCCGGUUUAACCACUAGGCUCCAAAAACUCAACACUAGGGCUACUCAAGCCUAAAACUCUUCUGCAUCAUGCACUUAUCGGAGAACACUCCAUCAUCACACUCUCUUUCCGUCUAGUGGGUACUAUGGCUUCCCGCAACAUUACGACAGCCUCUGACUAGUGAGUACUACGGCUCCCCGUAGUAUCACAACGCCAACUAACUAGUGAGUACUACGGCUCCCCGUAGUACCACGACUCCCUCCCUCUGACUUGUGAGUACUACGGCUCCCCGUAGCAUCACAACACCCUCUGACUGGUGAAUACUACGGCUCCCCGUAGCUUCACCCUAUACUCUCAUUCUCAUUACAACGCCACACUAUGUUCACUAACUCAUGCACCGAAGACUAUCAUAGAUAGUUACACACACACUUGCCCCGAUAUGCAUUACAGACUCUGGCGGCAACCGCCAUAACACAGAACCUACCUCUGCGGAGAUCCACUUCCUUAAAUAAUCCCUCUUGAUGACAAUACACGAAGGGCUCCCACUGGAACCGUGGAUACAUGAUACAUCACUAGUCAUCUUAAACCCAAGACUCUAAAUAACUCUGAAAUCGGGACGCUAUACGCGGAAACCACGGAACACCCUAACAGAGCAUCACAAUGUCCUGCCUCUACCACUGAUUCCCUUACUCCCAGCACCAUACACAUACAACAAUACAUUUCCUCUGAAUCCCAUAAUAAUUUCCUAUUUCACUCAAUGCGCAACUUCAGUGCAUCCAAACACUCAAUUGGAAUACAAGGAAGGCGCUAACUCUUCAGAACACACUGAUGAUCCUCCGAAACCCUUUCCACUACUGCUCAAAAUCCAAGCAAGAAUACACAUCCCAGCCCGGGAGUUGGCUACUCGACAAUCUUCUACCCAUAUUUCAACCCAGAAGUUCUCAACUGCCCAUACCAUCAUUACGAGUCUUCCACUUGAAACGACUCUGACCACCACCAGAUUCCUGACCAUUGACCACCCGCCGUGGAGACACCCAUCCUUCUCUCAGACAUAUACCACAUGCAUUAUCUCGCCCUGCACCUUUCCUUGAUCACCAAUGACCCUGAUCUCAUGAAUUCAAGCCGCAGGUUUCUGUAUCCAACCCCUAACCGCUCUUGCACAAAUCUCUGGUUCUCUCAAUAAACCACCCGGUUCUCCCCCACUUAGGGUUCGAACCAUCACUAUCUGACACAUCAACAACCUCACAAACUAUUUUCACCAGCAAUAACGCACCUGAACCUGGAAAGUGCUACGCAACCCCCGAUAAUCCUCUUUAAGGAAAUCAAUCGAUCUCAUAACUCUAAACCUCAGAUGAAUCCUCAAGAACUUCUCGUCACGACUGCCUCUAGUCGUUCCAAGUCUCGUACCAAUCCAAUACCAAACAACUCAAUUGUCCAAUAACAUCACUGACUCAUAAACUGGACCACGAAAUCAUCAUACUCCCCCACCUCGACUCAUCAACCGACGUUCCAACACAUGGAUCAUCCCAAGAACAGGGACCCACUCCCAUAUUCAAUACCCAACAUAGAUAGAAAAACCACUGCACUGAUUAACUCGACUGGACUCCCCACUGAUACCUCUACAAUACGCCCUACUAUACUCAAAUAGGUGUAACGUGGUCCUCGACUAUCGCAGUCCCAACUGACUAUCUGCUCAUGGAAAAUCACUGCCUCGUGGCACAUAUGCUACCUGAUACUCUAAUGAAAAAUCAUCAUCAUUGACAACAUGCAGGGUUUACCCUCAAACCCAAAACUUAAACAUCAUGCCUCUCAUGUUCCGCACACAAACAUAAAUAGCACCACCCUGGUCAUAGAAGGUGACAUCUCCUCUAUCGACUGAUUGCUCAACUCAGACCGAAAUUCUCCCCUCCCUCUGACUCCUUACCAAAAUACUCUGAAAGGCUCUCGACCUCCCUCUCAAGGGACGCCUCUUCGAACUCAAUCAUGGCCCACAGGCCUAAAACCCAUAGCGUCCAAUCUCUACCUCAUCAAUCGUGACCGGAUAACCGGAGAACCACAAGCAUCAUUCACUACGAACCAUGGUACUCAUCCCAUGACAUCUCUUCUCAAUAUGCUCCGGUGUAUGGUACCCGAACCAUAGCAUCACUCCUCCAUCUGCUCCGAUGUAUGGUACUCGAACCAUAACAUCAUUCCUUCAUCCGCUCCGAUUUAUGGUACUCGAACCAUAACUUCACUCCUCGAUCCGCUCCGAUGUAUGGUACUCGAACCAUAACAUCACUUCUCAAUCCGCUCCGAUGUAUGGUACUCGAACCAUAACAUCACUCCUCAAUCUGCUCCGAUGUAUGGUACUCGAACCAUAACAUCACUCCUCAAUCUGCUUCGAUGUAUGGUACUCGAACCAUAACAUCACUCCUCAAUCCGCUCAUUAGAACCUACAGAAUACUCCCUGUAUCAAUUAUGGGUCCUUUGCUUUCAGUAGUAUAUGCCCAUACUACCAGCCACAUCUAUCCAUACUUUCCACACGGACUAUCCCGGAGUUCCUAAGUAGUUGCUUGACCUUCUCGUUCACCAAUUCCGUCGCACGCUCGCUCCCCAGUGAAAUUCUCUACUCUACCAGCGCACUCAUCUGGCUAAGGUUACUCCCUAGGCUCUUCCUAGAUUCCCACACUUCUCUGCCAUCAGCUGCUGAAGAGCUCCUAAUGAUGCCAGCCAUCUACCUCCUGAAUAUCGUCAUAUUCGCUUGGUAGCUGACUCCCAUCAUCGAGAGUUCCACAAAGCACGAAGCAAGCAGCAUUCGAGCAUCGAAGAAUAUAUAUGACUCACUCUGGGUGAUAACUCCGCUUGCUCUGCUCAUCCUUGAAAGUACCACCGAACUCUGCAACUCUUCCCCUCACGGGUUCUAACUAUUCUUUCACUAAGUACCACGGUACUUAUCUAGGUGUCUCCCCUAGAUUACUCCUCUACUCAAAUCCCCUAAAGGAUUCCAACUAAAUAUUCUCACUCAUCACAUACUCAAAAGCACAUCGCAUAUAACAGCAAUUCCUAGGCUAAGGCAUCACAAAUCAGGCCACUCUAGUCCUAAGAUAUGAAAUACCUAGCCUGUCUCUAGCAUGCAAUAAUAUCUCAUAAAGUGCAUCAUAAAUAUCUCAUAACACAAAAGUAAGGGUAUUUUGGGAAAUCACCGUUCGGGCUCUGGCUGAUUGUACACACUGCUCUUUCUCGCUUUCUCUUUGAACUCUUAUUCGCUUUAGAAAAUUAUUUCUUUGAAAACUUUUCUUACUUCCUCAGUUUGAGUCCAGAUUUACCCGAAGGCGCAUCCGAAUCCCUCAAACCAAGGCUCUGAUACCAACUUGUAACACCGAAAAUUUCAAAACAAUUUUUCAUUUAAAAAUAAUCGUUUAAUUCUUAAAAACACUUUGCUUAAAAUCUCAUUCAUAAUCGAAUUACAAAACAUAACUCCAUUUUCACUUGCAUAAUAAACCAGGAUCCUCAAAACAUGACUCUUUCUCUGGUGUGUACAAUCGAGCCGGUGCCGUCCCGUGAUCCUGAGAGAAACCUGAAACACAUAACACAAAACACUGUAAGCACGAAGCUUAGUGAGUUCCCCAAAAUACCACACAUAACACAUAUUAGCCACUCGAGGCUAUAACUCUGUGGGUCCGUGGACCCUACUCUGUGAACCUUCUGGUUCUAACUCUGUGAACCUUCCGGUUCUAACUCUGGGAACCUUCCGGUUCUAACUCUGUAAACAUGCACAACAUAAAUCACAUAGAAAUAAUGCAGUACAACACAUAACAUACACAGCAUACAAAUACUCUGUCACAUAACUCUGGUUACCUACUCAAGGUAAAGUAUAGUGAGAAGACUCACCUGGCAAUCAGAAAGCAAUUAUCUGCACAUGCGAACCUCGGACUCGCCACCGCCUAACACAUAAGGCAA
rnacentral:lncRNA from 1 species